rnacentral:lncRNA from 1 species
CCUCUUAUUGAAAUUGAUUGAAAUAAAAUGAAGUUGCGGUUUUUCAUUGCAUGCAAAUGCCUAUCUUGAUACAGAAAUGGGAGCUUAUCUUAUUCUGCAUUCGGAUGGUUUCACGAUAACUGGAAUGGUUUUGUCGCCGUAACAAACAACACAUUUUCGGCCAUAUUUUUAGUAGUAAUGAUGAUCACUCGAAUUUUUUUCAUUAAUCUACACAGGGUUGAGUGUUAUAACGCUUUUCAAAGAUUUAUCGCUCUACUUUUCAAUUUUUAAUAUUAUAAAUGGCCGAAAAUGUGCUGCGUCUGUUAUGCUGUUUAUUUACCGCGUAACAGACCAGUACAUUUUCGAAAUGUAUAUACCUAAUAUUCAUUGAGAAGUAGAGCAAUAAUCAUUAGAAAGCGCUAUAAUACGUAACCCAUUGAAGAUAAAUGCGAAAAAAUUCGAGUGAUCGUCAUUUUCUACUCGAAAUAUGACCGGAAAAUGUGUUAUCUGUUACGGCCAACAAAACUAUUCCAGUUUUCGUGAAACCACCCAGAAAAGAUGGCAGUUAUCUCGUUGCGCUGACAGUAUAGUCGCAAUGCGUUGCCUCAAUGCAACGUGCAACACAUGGGAAUAGCCGCAUAUAUGUAGGUUAUUUUUUAAUUGUUUUACUACGCCGUCAGCAGAUCGAGGCACUUACGUUUUUUCUUUUCUAAGUGAAGAUUUGUUUUCCAGCUACUAAGGUUCGUUGGGCCCUCAUUUUGAAGCGUUGGACUCAACUCCCUUCUCUCAAAUGGCACAAAAACCAGCUGAAACUUUAUUCCCGAAGUUAACAAAUGCACCCUUCAAAGAUAUGGACCAUCCGGUGGGAUUCAGACCAUGAUUUUUAUGUGUUAUGACACUGAAUGUCGUCAAUGAAAAAAUAUUUUGCAGUUCUAUGGUUUUGGUACCUCCUCUUGUUGAUUGUCAAUGGCUUCAAUUUGGCGUGGGAGAUUUUUCUCAUACCUCACUGUCGUUAGCUGCUCAGGAUCUGCAUCAAAUGCCAAAAAACAGAAUAAUGCUGUUUGCGUCUGUUUGCCCUCUAUCAAAGACCCCCAAAUUUUUACCAAUUUGUCAGCAAGAAAGUUUUUUUACUCUGAUUGGAUGGUGCUUUCAUUUUACAGCAAACCUUCCGACAACUCUAUUUUUACAGUUAAUGAGAAAGUCACCGCUCUUUGCAAAAAAUAGAUUCUUCGAAUUAUUAAUUUUAAACUUGUCAAACUAGUAUCACUAAGUUUUUCAAAUACUUUCGCAAAGUUUUCUUAACAUUAGCAUUCCAUUAAAGAAUCAAGCAAACAGUAUUAAUUGUUAAGUUAUAUAAUUUUACACUAUGAAGUAAGAAAAAUUAUUUGUUCUGAAGAGAAGAGUUUUUAAUCAUCCAUGUAAUUUCACUAAGAGAGAAGUCGAACACAAUUUCCCAGCAUUUUUGAAUUUCCCGCUUUAAUUUUGAAUUUUUGUCAUUCACUCCAGCAGCUGGUCGUUUCCGAGCGAAAAGAAAUAAACGAAAAACAGUUGUCGGCCCUGUUUUAUGCCAAUAUGGCGGACGUGGCGUUGUUGAUUAGUUGUUUACAUUUUCUCCGUUCAAGAAAUUGCGUCCCACAUUUUAUCUGUUCCGAACAAAUGAUGAAGUGAAGUGUCGAAUUUCUUACAGAUGUGAUCAGUUUCAUUUUCUUUUAUGUGAAAAAUCAUCGCUCUCCAGUGUUUUUCAGCACCGUUCGGGUAAGUUCCAAUGCCUUUGGUGUAUCGCUGUUCCGGGCUGGGUCAACGGAUCAAUUUGCAAAAACAUCUGCAGUCAUUGCAUAAUUUCCCCGCUUAUCAACCGAUUUAGCUGGAGUAUUAAGCGAUUUUCCCUUGGUAAUAUCGUGUCAAAUGCUUAUUGAUAGCCUUAUCUGAACUCAUGGAUGGUGCAAUGCAUUACUAAAAUUAUCUAUCAUUGUUUCUCACCCAUCGAUAACUUUUAUAUAGUCCCAAGACUCAGCUGUCCUUGCGAUCAUGCAAAAUUGUGUUAUGUAUUCCGAAAAUUUGUAACUAUUCUAAGUCUGUGAAAAACCUUAUUUUUCAUUUUGUUUUCAGGUUGGUAUCCUGGACUUUCAUCGAAGAGAUCACAAGAAGAAAAUGAGAGGUACGAUUUUGGUAUUAUAAAUUCCAAGUAAGGAUAGAUAAUCCCAGUCUUAUGUAGUCUCAUAUUUUACAAUAUGCAGCAAGCCAUAGAAGGCACAGAGG